GACCCGGUGGCGGACGACCGCAUCUGCCCUCUGUACUUGUGGAAGCCGGCCAAUUACAUGCAGAAGGUCCCCGUUCGACUCGGGGUCGGGUCG